UACGAAGGGGGCUAGCGUUGCUCGGAAUUACUGGGCGUAAAGCGCACGUAGGCGGCUUUCUAAGUCGGGGGUGAAAUCCUGGAGUUCAACUCCAGAACUGCCUUCGAUACUGGAGAGCUUGAGUCCGGGAGAGGUGAGUGGAACUGCGAGUGUAGAGGUGAAAUUCGUAGAUAUUCGCAAGAACACCAGUGGCGAAGGCGGCUCACUGGCCCGGUACUGACGCUGAGGUGCGAAAGCGUGGGGAGCAAACAGG
rnacentral:rRNA from 1 species